rnacentral:tRNA from 1 species
GCACCCUUAGCUCAGUUGGCUAGAGCGACUCGCUUACACCGAGUAGGCCGUGGGUUCGAAUCCUACAGGGUGCA